UACGAAGGGGGCUAGCGUUGUUCGGAAUCACUGGGCGUAAAGCGCACGUAGGCGGAUUGUUAAGUCGGGGGUGAAAUCCUGAGGCUCAACCUCAGAACUGCCUUCGAUACUGGCAAUCUCGAGUCCGGAAGAGGUUGGUGGAACAGCUAGUGUAGAGGUGAAAUUCGUAGAUAUUAGCUAGAACACCAGUGGCGAAGGCGGCCAACUGGUCGGUACUGACGCUGAGGUGCGAAAGCGUGGGGGAGCAAACAGG
rnacentral:rRNA from 1 species